rnacentral:rRNA from 1 species
CCCUUUGAUACUCUGGGCGGCACGCGCGCUACAAUGGAUUACAAAACGUGUCACUUAACCGAAAGGUUUCGUUAAACACAAAUGUCAUGUCUUGAAUGGGAUAGUUUAUUGCAACUACAGACUUGAACUAGGAAUCCCUUGUAGGUAUACUUCAGCAUAGUGUACCGAAUACGUCCCUGCCGUUUGUACACACCGCCCGUCGUUUCUUCCGACUGAUACUCAUUGUGAAUUACGAGGAUAGGCAACUAAAGUCGUUGUGAAUGCUGAGUAUUGGAGGAAGAAAAAGUCGUAACA